rnacentral:rRNA from 1 species
CCUACGGGUGGCAGCAGUGAGGAAUAUUGGUCAAUGGACGAGAGUCUGAACCAGCCAAGUAGCGUGAAGGAUGACUGCCCUAUGGGUUGUAAACUUCUUUUAUAAAGGAAUAAAACGAGGCACGUGUGCCUUUUUGCAUGUACUUUAUGAAUAAGGAUCGGCUAACUCCGUGCCAGCAGCCGCGGUAAUACGGAGGAUCCGAGCGUUAUCCGGAUUUAUUGGGUUUAAAGGGAGCGUAGAUGGGUUGUUAAGUCAGUUGUGAAAGGUUGCGGCUCAACCGGAAAAUUGCAAUUGAUACUGGCAGUCUUGAGUACAGUUGAGGUAGGCGGAAUUCGUGGUGUAGCGGUGAAAUGCUUAGAUAUCACGAAGAACCCCGAUUGCGAAGGCAGCUUACUAAACUGUGACUGACAUUGAUGCUCGAAAGUGUGGGUAUCAAACAGGAUUAGAUACCCGGGUAGUC